rnacentral:tRNA from 3 species
GGCUCGUUGGAGAAACGGUUAACUCACUUGCCUUUCACGCAAGCAUUCACGGGUUCGAAUCCCGUACGAGUCACCA